rnacentral:tRNA from 1 species
UGGGGCUUGGCUCAAUGGUAGAGUGCUUGCCUCACGGGCAGGACCCUGAAUUCGAUCCUCAGCACCACAU